GAUGAACGCUGGCGGCGUGCUUAACACAUGCAAGUCGAACGGAAAGGCCUCUUUCGGGGGGUACUCGCGUGGCGAACGGGUGAGUAACACGUGAGUAACCUGCCCUUGACUUUGGGAUGACUUCAGGAAACUGGGGCUAAUACCGGAUAGGAGCUCCUGCUGCAUGGUGGGGGUUGGAAAGUUUCGGCGGUUGGGGGUGGACUCGCGGCUUAUCCGCUUGUUGUUGGGGUAGUGGCUUACCAAGGCUUUGACGGGUAGCCGGCCUGAGAGGGUGACCGGCCACAUUGGGACUGAGAUACGGCCCAGACUCCUACGGGAGGCAGCAGUGGGGAAUAUUGCACAAUGGGUGGAAGCCUGAUGCAGCAACGCCGUGUGCGGGAUGACGGCCUUCGGGUUGUAGACCGCUUUCGCUCAUGACGAAGCUUUGUGUGACGGUAGUGGGUAAAGAAGCACCGGCUAACUACGUG
rnacentral:rRNA from 1 species